rnacentral:tRNA from 1 species
UCCCUGGUGGUCUAAUGGCUGAGACUCCAAGGUUCCAAUGCAGGGACCCAGGUUCAAUCCCUGGUCAGGGAA